AGCUUUGCGCAGUGGCAGUAUCGAGCCAAUGAGGUUUAUCCGAGGCGCGAUUAUUGCUAAUUGAAAAAGCUCAGCAUAGAGUACUUGCUUAGUUUGCAGGAGGCCCUGUGUUCAAACUAUAAUAAGCUCUCCAGAAAAGAAAAAGCUUUUAAAAUCUAUUUAUACAA
ensembl:snRNA LOC120095494 U4 spliceosomal RNA